UACGUAGGGUGCGAGCGUUGUCCGGAAUUAUUGGGCGUAAAGGGCUCGUAGGCGGUUCGUCGCGUCGGGAGUGAAAACCUCGUGCUUAACACCGCGCUUGCUUUCGAUACGGGCAGACUAGAGGUAUGCAGGGGAGAACGGAAUUCCUGGUGUAGCGGUGAAAUGCGCAGAUAUCAGGAGGAACACCGGUGGCGAAGGCGGUUCUCUGGGCAUUACCUGACGCUGAGGAGCGAAAGUGUGGGGAGCGAACAGG
rnacentral:rRNA from 1 species